rnacentral:rRNA from 1 species
AGAGUUUGAUCCUGGCUCAGAUUGAACGCUGGCGGCAUGCCUAACACAUGCAAGUCGAACGGCAGCACAGCAGUAGCAAUACUGUGGGUGGCGAGUGGCGGACGGGUGAGUAAUGCAUCGGGACCUACCCAGACGUGGGGGAUAACCUCGGGAAACCGGGACUAAUACCGCAUACGUCCUACGGGAGAAAGCGGGGGACCUUCGGGCCUCGCGCGGUUGGACGGACCGAUGUGCGAUUAGCUAGUUGGUAGGGUAAUGGCCUACCAAGGCGACGAUCGCUAGCUGGUCUGAGAGGAUGAUCAGCCACACUGGGACUGAGACACGGCCCAGACUCCUACGGGAGGCAGCAGUGGGGAAUAUUGGACAAUGGGCGCAAGCCUGAUCCAGCAAUGCCGCGUGUGUGAAGAAGGCCUUCGGGUUGUAAAGCACUUUUAUCAGGAACGAAAUACCACCGGGUUAAUAACCCUAUGGGGCUGACGGUACCUAGGAAUAGCCC